CCUACGUGAGGCAGCAGUGAGGAAUAUUGGUCAAUGGGCGCGAGCCUGAACCAGCCAAGUAGCGUGAAGGAUGACUGCCCUACGGGUUGUAAACUUCUUUUAUAAAGGACUAAAGUGAGGCACGUGUGCCUUUUUGUAUGUACUUUAUGAAUAAGGAUCGGCUAACUCCGUGCCAGCAGCCGCGGUAAUACGGAGGAUCCGAGCGUUAUCCGGAUUUAUUGGGUUUAAAGGGAGCGUAGAUGGGUUGUUAAGUCAGUUGUGAAAGUUUGCGGCUCAACCGUAAAAUUGCAAUUGAUACUGGCAGUCUUGAGUACAGUUGAGGUAGGCGGAAUUCGUGGUGUAGCGGUGAAAUGCUUAGAUAGCACGAAGAACUCCGAUUGCGAAGGCAGCUUACUAAACUGCCACUGACAUUGAUGCUCGAAAGUGUGGGUAUCAAACAGGAUUAGAUACCCCAGUAGUC
rnacentral:rRNA from 1 species